rnacentral:rRNA from 1 species
UACGUAGGGAGCAAGCGUUGUUCGGAUUUACUGGGCGUAAAGGGCGCGUAGGCGGCAUAUUAAGUCAUCUGUGAAAUCUCCGAGCUUAACUCGGAACUGUCAGCUGAUACUGAUGUGCUAGAGUGCGGAAGGGGCAAUCGGAAUUCUUGGUGUAGCGGUGAAAUGCGUAGAUAUCAAGAGGAACACCUGAGGUGAAGACGGGUUGCUGGGCCGUAACUGACGCUGAGGAGCGAAAGCAUGGGGAGCGAACAGG